CCUAGGGAUGAGCCUGGGUUCCAGAACUUACCCGGGGAGGCGGGUAGGGUGAGGAAUGACAAGAGACUGUACCAUUCAGGAGGUGUUAGGACCAGCGCCCCGGCAGGUACAGAAGGAUGCUGACCCAGAGCCUGGGAUGCGGGCUUCCAGCACGACGCACAGAGAGAGGGACGCGUCAAGGUCCGAAAGGGGAUGGAAACCAGUCCCUAUUUGAGGAAAGUGUCAGUUCGGGCACCUGGUUCGCGGAUGGGUGCCCACAUCCUGAGGCACCUAAGCAGCAACAGGUAACAAAAGCACCAGGCCACCUGGAGAGGCCCCGUGUAGGUGAGACUCGAUUACUGGCCAGGAUCAACCUCCUCCAACGUGAAUGAUUCCAGUUCCAGACGUGAGAUCACUCUAGUCACUCCGGACUUUGUGAGUUUCCCAGCUGAGUUCCCAGAGAAGAGCCGUACCCACUUUGCCCUGCCCAAAUUCCUGACUCACAAAACCUGAG